rnacentral:rRNA from 1 species
UACGAAGGGCUAGCGUUGCUCGGAAUCACUGGGCGUAAAGGUGCGUAGGCGGGUCUUUAAGUCAGGGUGAAAUCCUGGAGCUCAACUCCAGAACUGCCUUUGAUACUGAGGAUCUUGAGUUCGGGAGAGGUGAGUGGAACUGCGAGUGUAGAGGUGAAAUUCGUAGAUAUUCGCAAGAACACCAGUGGCGAAGGCGGCUCACUGGCCCGAUACUGACGCUGAGGAGCGAAAAGCGUGGGGAGCGAACAGG